rnacentral:lncRNA from 1 species
UAAAAUAUUAUUGUAAAUGUGUAAAUAUUUUAAGUGCUUAACUGUUUGGACACUACAGUUGAAAUCACCCGAGUGGUGCAGAAACACACUGUUGGUUGAAGCAUUAAGUUUAAUAUAAAGGAUAUAAAUUAAGUAAAGAAUGGUGCUAAAGUAAAAGAACUACCAUUAGCUAAGCAAAUUCAUCAAAACAAUAAGAGCAAGAAAUCACAGAAGAUAUCUGCAAAUAUGAAACUAUAUCAGUUGUUGUAACCCGUGAUCCUUCCUCUUGCUGCCUAAAAAUCCUUUGAAACAGUUUCUCCUGCAAAAGAACAAGGGAAAAAAGAGGAAGGAUUUAUAUAGUAGAUACAAUACCAGACGUCAACCAGGGACAAAUGAAAACAAUUAUACAACUGAAAACGAAAGCAAAAGAAAGCCUGCAGCAAUAUUUUAAAAUGAAGGGUUGCAAUGAAAGCAUUGCAGUGGGAAACAUAGUAGGCUGAAAUUAUUCAUAACUAAUUUAAGACAACAAUGAGCAAGACUACGAGACCAAUGGAAUAAAACAAGGAUGCAAAUCAACCACAAGCACCAUUCACCGCAUAUGGACAAAUCAAUAAAUUAAAGAACUAAGUAAAAAAUCUAGAAGCGGAGGGCUCUAUCGUGAGAACUGAGGACACAAGUUCAAGAACUAGGGAACUUUUUCCAGUUUUACUACAAACACAAAAAAGGUGUGCAUGCUUGCUACAAUCAUCAUUUUGCCUUUGAAGAAGCUAUGACUGAUCAAGGGAGCUCAAAGCAUGCAGCUUCUAAUUUGAGGGCUUAAUGUCUCUUCAAUAUAGGGUUUAGUUCCGAGGACAAUUUUUAUAUCAUGUGACUAUCUUUCUAGAACAUAAUUAUAUGACCAUUUUAUCUUAUUCUGUAAGCAUAAUAAAAACUUAUGGCACAUCGUAGUCGCAAUUUGGAUUUAACCAGCUUCAGGAUACCUGAUAUAGUUGCUUUAAAGCAAAAGAAUUUUAAAAAUUAAUAUCAUAAUAACUUGCUAAAUUUGAGAAAGUGACUAACCAUUAAUUAUAAUUUAACUUUUUCUAUAUAUAAACUAAAAUUACACUUUUUUCCUUCAAAAUAAUUAUAUUAUUCUUGAAUUUUAAAACUCUAAUGUACUUUCUAUUCCAAAAACACUUUUAAUUUUUUGCUUCUGAAAGCAAAAAACAAAAAAGAAGUAUAAAAAAAAAAAAGCCAAACACGACCUUUGUAUUUUUUGUAUUUAUUUAUUUAUUUUCAAGUUUUUAAACAACAAUAGCUCAUCAAAAACUUGAUAAAUUUUUUAAGGUAAUAAAGACUAAAGAACUUCAUGUUGUGAUCAUGUGCUCAAUACUGAGGUGGAGGCCAUUCUGUUCAGCUUGGAACUAGCAGCUGAAUAUCGACCCUCGAAUAUAGUAGUGGAAAGUGAUUAUAUGUUAGCAGUAACAAGGAUAAACAGUUUGAGUCCUAUUUUUUAGGAGCGGAAUGGUUUGCUUAAUGAUAUUUUGGACUUGAUCUUGCAUUUGGGGUCGUGUUUUUGGCCAUACUUUUCAACUAGGACAUCAGUUUUCCCAUAAUCUUACUAAGCUUGAUUGUAAUGUUGGGGAGGAUUAAAGAUGGUCAGGCUCAGCUAGUUAAUUUCUGUAAUCCUGAUUUAUGGGAUGACUAAAACACCUUACUGCCCUCCAUAAAAAAAACAACGAAUAAUCCAUACACUAAAUACAAGUAAUUCAACCAAGAACCAUAAGGAGAAUGAAGUAGGGUGAAACCCAGAAUUAGAAAAAGUACCCAAUAAUCCAUUGAAUGAAAUGUAUAGAAGGAGAAUGCAUGGAGAAAUACAAUUUACAAGAAAACUGAAUAUUCGUUUGAGAUCACAUGUCUAUUAUAUUUGGAACAUAUGUCCCAACUCCCAACAGUAUAUACAUACAUAUACAUGGCUAUUAUAACUGAAAUGUAUAGAAGAAGAAUGCAUGGAGAAAUACAAUUUACAAGAAAAUGAUAUCACAUGUCUAUUAUAUUUGGAACAUAUGUCCCAACUCCCAACAGCAUAUACAUACAUAUACAUAGCUCAUGUUAUUACUGUAAUAAAAAACUGGAAAACAUGUAUGUGAAUGUAUGUAUGUAUGUAAUGUAUGCUGCCCUUACACCACAUAAUAUUCCCAUCCAUCUCAUCUGUAGUUAACUUUCAAAAUAUUCCCCAAUUUUAAAUCCAAGCCAAGAUUGAAAUGAACAAAAUCCAGUUUCUUCAUUUUUCUGACUAAUCAACAAAAUCCAGUUUCAUAAAAUGAAAUGUUCCAUUUAACACAGUAAAGUCAGUUGAAGCUAAAAAAUUACCAAUUUUUAAUUCCUCAAGUUUACAUCCCAAUCCUAAUUUAUUCGUCGAACCUCAACAAUUAAACAAAAUAAAAAAUAAAAUACUAAUAUAAAUAUGCAGAAACCCCUAACAAUUACAUAGAGCUUGCAAUCAAGAAUGUGAGUAGAAAUCCACCUUCGAUGAAUCGCGAGAAGAGGUGACGAUUCAGGUUGCAAUUUUUUAGCAACCUAACGAGAAGAGGUGAAUCAGCAGGCAUUACAAAUCUGCCAUUAGAAGAGAACCAGCAUGAGCAUAAUUAAGAAAGAAGAUAGUGAUAUACCUGUGGCUGCUAAUUUUUUAAGGUUUCUUUAAAAUACAGACUUGACGAGGGUCGACCGACAGAGAUGACGAGGCCAACGAACAGAGAUGAGGAGGAGCGGCAGAGGCUGAUGGACAGAGAGGAAGAGAGAACCACUGCUAGUGUAGAGAAGGGAAUGGAAAAUGUCUUAUGAAUUCCAAAUUGGUAAGACUUUUUCCGGAAAUUGAGAAUUGAUUUACCCGUGUUUUGAAAAAUGUUUUCGUUUAGUAAUUCAUUUUCUACCAAACAAACGCCGAAAAAAUCCGAAAAAUAUUUUCCAGAAAACAUUUUCU